UACGUAGGGUGCAAGCGUUGUCCGGAUUUACUGGGCGUAAAGCGCACGUAGGCGGAUCUUUAAGUCAGAGGUGAAAUCCCAAGGCUCAACCUUGGAACUGCCUUUGAUACUGGGGAUCUUGAGUCCGGGAGAGGUGAGUGGAACUGCGAGUGUAGAGGUGAAAUUCGUAGAUAUUCGCAAGAACACCAGUGGCGAAGGCUGGCUCACUGGCCCGGUACUGACGCUGAGGUGCGAAAGCGUGGGGAGCAAACAGG
rnacentral:rRNA from 1 species